rnacentral:rRNA from 1 species
UACGUAGGCAGCGAGCGUUGUUCGGAGUUACUGGGCGUAAAGGGUGUGUAGGCGGUUUUCUAAGUUUGGUGUGAAAUCUCCCGGCUCAACCGGGGGGGUGCGCCGAAAACUGGGAGACUAGAGUGCGGGAGGGGAGAGUAGAAUUCCUGGUGUAGCGGUGAAAUGCGUAGAUAUCAGGAGGAAUACCGGUGGGGAAGACGGCUCUCUGGACCGCCACUGACGCUGAGACACGAAAGCGUGGGUAGCAAACAGG